UACGGGGGGAGCAAGCGUUGUUCGGAUUUACUGGGCGUAAAGGGCGCGUAGGCGGCCACCGCAAGUCGACUGUGAAAUCUCCGGGCUUAACUCGGAAAGGUCAGCCGAUACUGCGGGGCUAGAGUGCAGAAGGGGCAACUGGAAUUCUCGGUGUAGCGGUGAAAUGCGUAGAUAUCGAGAGGAACACCUGCGGCGAAGGCGGGUUGCUGGGCUGACACUGACGCUGAAGCGCGAAAGCCAGGGGAGCAAACGGG
rnacentral:rRNA from 1 species